AGAACGAACGCUGGCGGCAUGCCUAACACAUGCAAGUCGAACGCUUGUCGAGACUUCGGUUUUGGCAGGAGUGGCGCACGGGUGAGUAGCGCGUGGGAACCUGCCCUGUUGUGGGGGAUAACCGAGGGAAACUUCGGCUAAUACCGCAUACGCCCUGGUGAGCGAUCAUCGGGGGAAAGAUUUAUCGCAGCAGGAGGGGCCCGCGUCGGAUUAGUUAGUUGGCGGGGUAAUGGCCCACCAAGACUAUGAUCGGUA
rnacentral:rRNA from 1 species